rnacentral:rRNA from 1 species
AGUGAACGCUGGCGGCGUGCUUAACACAUGCAAGUCGAACGAGAACGGAAUAUAGCUUGCUAUAUUUGUCAGCUAAGUGGCGCACGGGUGAGUAAUGUAUAGAUAACCUGCCCUUAAGAAAGGAAUAACAGUUGGAAACGACUGCUAAUACCCUAUAUGCCUUUAAUACAUAAGUAUGCAAGGGAAACGCUUUAGUGCUUAAGGAUGGGUCUGUAUGGUAUCAGCUUGUUGGUGAGGUAAUGGCUCACCAAGGCUAUGACGCCUAACUGGUUUUAGAGGAUGAUCAGUCACACUGGAACUAAGACACGGUGCAGACUCCUACGGGAGGCAGCAGUGGGGAAUAUUGCACAAUGGACGAAAGUCUGAUGCAGCAACGCCGCGUGGAGGAUGACACAUUUCGGUGCGUAAACUCCUUUUAUAUAGGAAGAUAAUGACGGUACUAUAUGAAUAAGCACCGGCUAACUCCGUGCCAGCCGCCGCAGUAA